ACUGUGGGAACGACCAGGUUGCCUUGGGCUUCUCUUAAGCUUCUGAGAGGACAGAUGGACGGGUUGGCUUAGGGGCUUCCCUCGUGCGACCCCCCAAGGGCCUGAGGCUCUUCCCCUUGGGACGUAAAGAGCGGUUCGCUGGGUAGACCAGGCCGGGACUCUGGUUGUCAACAGGCGGGGGCAGGCCAGGGUCACUCUAAAUGCUUUUGAGGAAUAGUUUUAAUGCCAUUGGGGUGGCCAGGGGCUAUGGAAAGUUCUAGGUUGCUUUAGGCUGAUCUUGAUCCCAGAGCAGGCCAUUGGGCAGGCCAGAGGGCUUCCCUUGCAUCCACAGGGCGGGCUGACGGGCUUGGCCUUGAGUGAAAACCGUGGGCCUAAUGGCUGCCUCACACGGCCACGUCCUCUGAGCCAGGCCGCUGGGCCGCAGGGAGCCCUGGAGAACCAGACCCCCGGGGUGCAGAGCCAAAUUUUUGGGCGUUUUUUGCCCAUUUAGGUUCUGCUUCAUUCUUGGUUUUAAUUUUUUUUUUAACAUGAGUUUAUUUUUAAAGUGUUUAAAUUCCAUAAAUUCAUUUUAAAGUUUUUAAAGUCUACCACCCCUUUUCUGUUUUAUAGCCCUUUUCUCUCAAACUUGAAUCAUUUGGUUAAUCAUGCCCAAGGAAGAGUCAGCAGUCACUUUUUAUCAUACAGGGGCUUGGAGCUGGGUGUGAAGUAUCUUUUAUUCAUUGAUAUCUGGAAAACAAAUUUCUUUUACAGUGGCCCUAAAGUGAGUGGGAGAUAAAGGAUCAAUCUCCUUGGUUCUGGAAAAGACAAAGGCAAGCGUUGACGGAAAGAUGUUUCAUAACAAUGUUGCGGACCAUAAGCUAAAGGUGGAAGCCAUAAUUAAAAAUAUUAAUACAAUUUCUUUGGAGUUAAAGAAGAUGAAAGAACUCUCCCAGUUACUGCUUUGUGACCUCACUCUGCAGUUUAAUCGUCCUGUGAAGACAGAGGACGCACAGGAAGCAGAAAGAAGCAAUCCUCUCUUUGAAGAAUCUGAAAUAACAGAUGCACCCCUUUCUUCUAACAGUUUUUCUGUCUGAUUUCUUGUUAAUGUCUGUUUUUAUUAUUGAAUUAUCUGGGAGUAUUGAGUUUAUUAAUAUACUUACUAUAAAAAAACCAAAAUAAAAAUAAUGUGAAGUUGUAAAUAA